AGCAUAAAACAGUGCCUGGCAUACAGCAAGUGCUCAACAAAGAAUUUUUGGAUGAAUAAAUGAGCCAAUCACAUGCAACAGUACUUCUUGAAAGUGGCAUUGAAUGUGGGUGUCCAGGACAUUGUGUGACUCAGGAAACAGCUCAGACAUUAGGCUUGCAGCAGGCUGAAGAGGACAAGGAAAGGGCAGUGUGAGCCAAGGAGGUGGCCCUGCCACAGUGAGGGCUCUGAAAGUCCCUGCCUGAAAAGGGAGAGGAGAUCUGGGCUUGGGGAUGCUCUGGAAUGCAGCCCCCUUCCCUGCUGCUGCUUCUGCUGCUGCCGCCACCACCGUGUUUCCUAGUUGUCAUGGCCAGAGGGCUGCUGUGCGGAAGUUUUCCAGAACCCUGUGCCAAUGGAGGCACCUGCCUGACCCUGCCUCAGGGGCAAGAGACCUGCCUGUGUGCCCCUGGCUUCCUGGGCAAGACAUGCAAGUUUCCUGACCCCUGCCAAGAUGCUCAGCUCUGCCAGAAUGGGGGCAGCUGCCAAACCCUGCUUCCCACCUCACCAGGCUCCUCUAGCUCCCCCUCUCCAUUGCCCCCCAGCUUCUUCUGCAACUGCCCCACUGGCUUCACUGGUAAAAGGUGCCAGGUCCGCCUCCAAGACCCCUGUCUUCCCUCCUUCUGUUCCAAAAGGGGCCGCUGCCACAUCCAGGCUUCAGGCCACCCACAGUGCACCUGCAUGCCUGGAUGGACAGGUGAGCAGUGCCAGCUUCGGGACUUCUGCUCAGCCAACCCCUGCAUCAAUGGAGGCGUAUGUCUGGCCACAUACCCCCAGAUCCAGUGCCGCUGCCCACCUGGCUUUGAGGGUCAUGCCUGCCAACAUGAUGUCAAUGAGUGCUUCCAGGACCCUGGACUCUGCCCUAAAGGCACCUCCUGCCAUAAUACCCUGGGCUCCUACCAAUGUCUCUGCCCUGCAGGGCGGGAAGGUCCACACUGUGAGCUCCGAACAGGACCCUGCCCCCUGGCAGGCUGUUCAAAUGGGGGCACCUGCCAGCUGGUGCCAGGGGGAGACACCACCUUUCACUUCUGCCUCUGCCCGCCAGGCUUCACAGGCCUAGACUGCGAGGUGAAUCCAGAUGACUGUAUUGAGCACCACUGUCAGAAUGGGGGCAUUUGCCAGGACGGACUGGGCACCUACACCUGCCUCUGCCCAGAGACUUGGACAGGCUGGGAUUGCUCUGAAGAUGUGGAUGAAUGUGAGGUUCACGGUCCCCCUCACUGCAAAAAUGGGGGUACCUGCCAGAACUUGCCUGGCAGCUUUCAUUGUGUAUGUGUGAGUGGCUGGGGAGGCACAGGCUGUGAAGAGAACCUGGAUGACUGUGUUGCUGCUACCUGUGCUCCUGGAUCCACCUGCAUUGACCACAUGGGCUUCUUUUCCUGCCUCUGCCCACCUGGGCGCACAGGCCUCCUAUGCCACCUGGAAGAUAUGUGUCUGAGCCAGCCAUGCCAUGGGGAAGCCCAGUGCAGCACCAACCCCCUGACGGGCUCCACACUCUGCCUGUGCCAACCUGGCUACUCAGGGCCCACCUGCCACCAAGACCUGGAUGAGUGUCAGAUGGCCCAGCAAGGUCCCAGUCCCUGUGAACAUGGUGGUUCCUGCCUCAACACCCCUGGCUCCUUCAACUGCCUCUGUCCACCUGGCUACACAGGCUCCCGCUGUGAGGCUGAUCAUAAUGAGUGCCUGUCCCAGCCCUGCCACCCAGGCAGCACCUGCCUGGACCUCCUUGCCACCUUCCACUGCCUCUGCCCACCAGGUUUAGAAGGGCUACUCUGUGAGGUGGAGACCAAUGAGUGUGCCUCAGCUCCUUGCCUGAACCAAGCUGACUGUCACGACCUGCGCAAUGGCUUCCUGUGUGUCUGCCAGCCUGGAUUCACUGGCACCCAGUGUGAGGAAGACAUCGAUGAAUGCAGAAGCUCUCCCUGUGCCAAUGGUGGUCAGUGCCAGGACCAGCCUGGAGCCUUCCAUUGCAAGUGUCUCCCAGGCUUUGAAGGGCCACAGUGUGAGACAGAGGUGGACGAGUGUCUGAGUAGCCCAUGCCCCAGUGGAGCCAGCUGCCUUGAUCUCCCAGGAGCCUUCUUUUGCCUGUGCCCCUCUGGCUUCACAGGCCAGCUCUGUGAGGUUCCUGUGUGUGCCCCCAACCUGUUCCAGCCUGAAAAAAAAUGCCAGGAUCAGGAAAACAAGAUCCACUGCCUCUGCCCCAGUGGAAGCCUUGGCUGUGCCCCUGCUGAGGACAACUGCACCUGCCACCAUGGGCAUUGCCAGAGAAAAAAAUGAAAGACAAAUAAACGAGGAAAAUGUUGGCAGCACGGGCAGUGAAUCCAGACUUUCCAGGACAGGCUCUCACUAAGUUGCUGAGGUUGGCCUCUAACUCAAGAUUCUCCUGUCUUAGCCUCCAGAGUCACUGGAAUUACAGGUGGUGCUACUGUGCCAGGCUCAUAUGUGUUUGAUAUUUUUAAAAGUUCUACUUUUUCAUACUUUACUAAAAUAAACUCAUAAAGAGAUUUUUUUAAAAAAAUUUUUUAGUUGUAGUUGGACACAAUACCUUUGCUUUAUUUAUUUAUUUUUAUGUGGUGCUGAGGAUUGAACCCAAGGCCCUCGCAUGUGCUAGGCGAGCGCUCUACCACUGAGCCACAACUCCAGCUCAUAGAGAUUAUCAGUUUUACAGAACUUAGAUUGGAAACUGUUACUGAGCAGUUCCCAUCCAUUAGUCUACCCUCACUGGGGAGAAGCUGUCCAUUGGCCUCCCUGUCCUUUAGAUGGUGCACACUAUUAAGUGGGCCUACAAGAAAGGACUACGAGGGGCUGGGAUUGUGGCUCAGCAGUAGAGCACUCACCUAGCACGGUCGAGGCCCUGGGCUCGAUCCUCAGCACCACAUAAAAAUAAAUAAAUAAAGGUAUUGUGUCCAACUACAACUAAAAAAUAAAAAAAUAAAAAUAAAAAAGAAAGGACUAUGUUGUUUGUUUGCAAAGGGAUCUUCAAGUGAGCACUCAGUGUCUUUCCAGUCACUGGUGGUUGUAGAUAAUGGCAAUUAUGCAACAGAGAAAAUAUGACCCAGGCAGAAUGUGCAGUAUGUGCCAUGGAAAAUUGUCCUCAGAGACACUCACCCUGUCUGGAAUGAGCCAGUAGUCCCAGGCCAAGGAUUCAGAUUUGCUAGACCUGUGUAUGGGCCAGGUUUAGGCCAAGCUCAUGCCUUUGCAAGGCUCCCGAGGUGGUUUCGAUGUGCACCCACCUGUGGUGAAGUGAACCUGUGGAUGGAGUCAGAUCAGGGAAGGGAGAGACUUGGCUUCUACUCUUGCUCCUUCACUGCCUUGCAGUUUGAUUACAGACUAAGGUUUCCAUUUCCUAGGUUUCAGUUUCCUCCUUUUGCUAUAAAGGGGAAGAGUCGGGCUAAAGUGGGAUCCUAAUUCUGUUGCUGAAAGCUAGGUCCUUUUUCCUGAUGCCAAUCCAAUAACGAGGACAUGGUUUUGAGAAAAAAGGAAAAAGUUUAUUGCUUUGCUAGCAAAGGAGAAGAAACACAGGGGACUCCUGUCUCAAAGGCUGUGAUUCUUCCCACUAGCAGGAACAGGGGGUUUUUAUAGAGGUGAUUCAGAGAAAAUGAGGGAAGAGAUCAGGCAGAAGAAAAUCAGGGAAAAGAAGACCAGGGAGAAGG